AUGGACAUGAGGUUUCUCUGUUGUGUAGCCCUUUGUCUCCUGGGAGCAGGAUCUUUGGAUGGACAAGUUAUCCAGACUCCAAAACAUCUAUUCAGAGGGAAAAGACAGAAAGCAAAGAUGAGCUGUAUCCCUGAAAAUGGACAUACUUAUGUUUAUUGGUACCAACAGAAGCAGAACAAAGAGUUGAAGUUUUUAAUUUAUUUUCAAUGUCAAGAAGUUCGUGAAAGAAUAGACUUGGUCAAGGAGCGAUUCGUAGCUGAGUGUCCUGUAAACUCACUCUGCAGCCUGGAAAUCCAGUCCUCUGAGGCAGGAGACUCAGCACUCUACCUCUGUGCCAGCAGUCUGUCCACAGCACUGCAAUGUGCCUUCCCCUCAGCGCGCAAAACCCUCCAUAGAGCCAACUCAGGAAGCAGGUGCUGCUCUGGGUGA